AGCUAUAUAAUUUAAUUAAAAUAUAUAAUUGCAGAUUAUAAUAUCUCAGUAAAUUCUGAGUAUAGCUU
rnacentral:tRNA from 1 species